CAAUUCUGGCCCACUUCACCGCUUGCGGCACCUUUAGGGGAUGACCGCAAGAGGAAAGUCCGGGCAACGCAGGGCACCACGCCGGCUAACGGCCGGGGCUUCGUAUUCUUUCGGGGGUGCGAGGUACGGAAAGUGCCACAGAAAGCUAUACCGCCUUCCUCUUUCGGGAGGGAGGUAAGGGUGAAAACGUGCGGUAAGAGCGCACGACGCUCCGUAGCAAUACGGAGGGUGGGUAAACCCCGUGGGUUGAAAUACCACGCAGUAUUGUUGCCUCCGGGCAGUCGUCGGCUCCGGCGAUCUUUACGGGCGAUACGGGUAGGUAGAUUGAGUCCGUCAGCAAUGGCGGAUCUGGAUAAAUGGUGAAGCUCUCCGCCUUGGCGGAGAUGACAAAACCCGGCUUAUCGGAGCCACGAAUUGCAAU
rnacentral:RNase_P_RNA from 1 species